rnacentral:rRNA from 1 species
CCUACGGGUGGCAUCAGUGAGGAAUAUUGGUCAAUGGACGAGAGUCUGAACCAGCCAAGUAGCGUGAAGGAUGACUGCCCUAUGGGUUGUAAACUUCUUUUAUAUGGGAAUAAAACGUUCCACGUGUGGGAUUUUGUAUGUACCAUAUGAAUAAGGAUCGGCUAACUCCGUGCCAGCAGCCGCGGUAAUACGGAGGAUCCGAGCGUUAUCCGGAUUUAUUGGGUUUAAAGGGAGCGUAGGUGGAUUGUUAAGUCAGUUGUGAAAGUUUGCGGCUCAACCGUAAAAUUGCAGUUGAAACUGGCAGUCUUGAGUACAGUAGAGGUAGGCGGAAUUCGUGGUGUAGCGGUGAAAUGCUUAGAUAUCACGAAGAACUCCGAUUGCGAAGGCAGUUCACUGGACUGCAACUGACACUGAGGCUCGAAAGUGUGGGUAUCAAACAGGAUUAGAUACCCUAGUAGUC